UACUUCAUUCAGUUCCCACAAUCACUUCGCAAGGUUGUCAUCAUCUACUUGACAGACAAAAUAACUGAGGCUCAGAACGCUUGCCAAGGGAGUGUUGGAGUCAAGAUUUGCGCCUAGACCCAUCAGGCCCAAAUCGCACGCCGCUGUUCCCUUCCUUCCAGCCGCUGCAUCACCCGUUUACCUGGAAGAAGAACGUUUCCAGCAGCGUCUAAGUGCUCUGCCCUACAGGGAGAAAGCAAGGGAACGCUUGACCUCAAAGAACUCAUAUCUGAGGAAUCAAGAGGAGCUUAUAAAUAUGCAAAAUAGUUCAUAAUUCCAGGCGCAAUGGUGGGUGUGGCAGAGCGUGGAUGCGGGUCCCCAGAUGCUCAUUUGCUCUUCACGUUUCCCAGCCUGCUCUGCAGUUUCCUUAGGGCCGUAUGACUGGCUGAAGACCGUGAGUGUGGGUGGGCAUGACGCAAGUUACCUCCAGGCGUGGCCCUUACACAUGUCACACGGUCACUCCUCUCUCUCCCUCGCCGUGCAGCGGGGAUUUCAGGAGGUGCGGGUCCCAGGCAUCGCAGCUCCAGAUGCAGGAGGACCCCCGCCCGUAUCAGACUGAGACGGAGGGAGAAAUGAACCCCCUGGGUUAAGCGCCUGAGAUCCGUGGUUACUGCAGCAAAACCUAGCCUCCUCUGAGCAGCCAACGGAAGAGCUGGGAAGGUCAGCGAGUCCUGAAACAGCAGGUGUUAAACCAGCUGAAGGCCCCAUCCUGGACCUAGCGAGUUAACAGGUUUAGGGACGGGCCCUGCGAGUCUUUAUUUUUCAUAAAGUGAUACUGAGACUUGGCCAAGUUUGGGGAGCCCGGCACUGUGGUCUGCUCAGCAUCCCCCAGGAAAUCUCCCACAAUAGAGAGACCAUCAGGCGCCCAUCUAGAAGGGGCAGAGGUCAAGGGCAAGAUCAAGAGAUGAGAAAAUCAAGAGAUGACCUCUUCAGACUCCCACCCCCACCCCAGCGCCACCCCGACAGCCAAGGCAAAGCUGGUGUUCCAAUUCAUUCUCCUUCCAGGAAAAUGACUCUCCAGCUCGGCUGACAGUGCAGGUCACACAGGAGAAAUCUUGACCCAGAGUGUGUCCAUGACGCUGUGUCACCAGGCCAGCCUCGGGCACCCUCAGAGCUGCUUGGCAUGCUUCUUGGCUGACUUCCUCUGUGACUGUGCCCCUGGUAGCCCUGGUCCCCUCCCUCCAUGUUCUCUGUCUCUGUCCCCCUUCCCCGGUUCCUUUGUUCGUUUCAGACCAGCCCAGGAGGUCCUGAGGGGAUCUCGGAUCUCACUUUCCUGUGAUGGGUGAGUGAUCAGGGAGGCGGUGCUGAGGCUGAAGGGCCUGGCCGUGGAGGCAGAUGGAGUGAGGCGGGGGCAGCAGGUGGAGGAAAUCAAAGGACUUCGCAUCAAAGGAGAGGAGCCGAUCAGCCAGAGGGUUCUCCAUCCUCCGAGGCUGGAUCCGUGCUCUAAUGCGGAAUCUUAGUUAAGUUUCAGAAACCAAAACUAAGGGGCUGGUGGAACUCCUGCCCGACAAAGGGGUUUGUUGAAAGGGUUUAGCAAUGUGACCAAGAUGCAGCUCCCACGGCGUCCUGCAGGGAGGGAGUUCAAGUUCUAGAAGGUGGGACCCUGCAGGGAACACGGUGAACAAGGCUUGUCCAGGCUGCCCUGGAGCUUGCCUUCUAGCAGGAGGAGACGGUGCCAGACUAUGGAUGUAGGAUGAAGGCACAGCAGAGGGUGCCUGGGGGCUACCUUGGCUUGGGGCUCAAGGACGCUCUCUGAGCAGCUCAGCUUUGGGCGGAGCCCUGAGCAGCCACGUGCAGAUCUGCAGGGAGAGCAUUCCAGGUGCAAAGGGCCUUAUGUGGAGCAGAGUUAUAUGUGGUGGAGGAAGAGAGGAGAGGCCAGCAGCUGAGGCAGAGCGAAGGAGGGCUGGGGACCCACCAGAGAGGGGGAUGCCUCCAGGCUGGGACAGGACGAGCCCACGGCAGGUUCUAAGUGCUGGAGCGAUGACCCCUGGUGGCUUUAAAGUGACUGCUUGGCUCCCAGAUAAAGAAUAGAUCUCAGGGGCAACAGUGGAAGCAGGAGGCCCCUUAGGGGACUUUAGGAGCCCAGAAAUGGAAAACUGCUCGACUUGGGGCCAGAAGGCACAUAGCUGUGUGACCUGCAGGAAGUCACUGCACAUCUCUGAGCCUCUGUUCUCUGCUCUGAGGAAGAUGGAGUGCAAAUGCCCACCAGAGCUUUCUGGGACAACUUCUGGCACCCAGCGCUGGCGUGGAAACCCUCCGCCCUCUCCGGGGAUGGAUCUCCGUGGUUUGAGCAGAAACACCGAGCCUGCGGUGGAGGAGCUCAGGCUGCGCGGAAGGACUGCGGUCAGUGGAAAGGCACCUGGACCCUCAGCUCCUCCUCGACACUCCACUCCCCGCUCUGCCCCACUGCCACCCCGGAGACUGGAUUUAUACCUGUGGUCAGGGGCGAGCCCGGAGGCCCAACCCCAGCACCUGAGACGUGCUUCUGGAGGCUGACCUGGAGACUCAAGAGGUCUUUUUGGUCCUGGCAGUGGCCCAGCGCUCGGCUUGGGGAGUGGAGCAAGAAGCCUGGGCAUGGAGCCACUUUGUAAGGAGCCAGCAGAGCUGUUUAAUCUGCCAGAGGCACGUAUCAGCGUGGGGGCAGAACGGAGGCUGGGCCAGCAGGACGCCGUCCCUGGGCGGGGCUGAGGUCUCAGCAAGGUCACUCCUGGGGAUGGGCAGAAGGAGAAGAUAGCCCCUCCUCUGCCAUCCAGAGAAGCUUCUCGUCCAUAGGGACCAUG
ensembl:lncRNA